GCUACAGUUGUUGUCUUCCUCUCAGCUGAUGGACAUACAUGCAUAUGUCCCGUACAGACUCCUCAACUGUCUUGUGAUCAGGCUGCGGAGUUCACUAUUGUUCGACGAUUUUGAAGAUGAUAGUCAAGAUCUGGAGCCUUGAUAAAACAAUAAAGAAAGUGGCAGUGGUUGCCACUUUCGACGCCAUAAAGAAAAAGGCCAUAGAGUUCGGUAUAUGCUGCAAUGGAGACAUCAAGGUACACAUGCUGGAUGGAACGGAGGUGGACGAAGAAGCUUUCAAUUGUUUGAAUCAGUCACCUGAGGAUGCUACUUACACCUUCAUUGCAACAACAGAUUCUUGGGUGUCAGGUCAGCAGGGGGAUGUAACAUCAACACAACAUGAAGGUGUCGAUGUGCCUUUUGGUUCACAAGUUCCGUUUCACUGGAGCAGCCUUAGCAAAGAAGUCAUAAAAGCAUUGCAAGAGGGGACUCAACUUAAUCCGACUGAACGACAAGAAGUUGUGCGCAUGGCUGCCGCGGCCUGUCAAAAAGUCAAGGCUAGACCAUCUGCACGUGAAAUAAGGAGUGCUGCCAGUUACCUUGUUGACAAGUACCCUGAGGCACUUGGGGACCCCACUUCCUGCUCAGCUACGUCAGUUUCUUCUGUAGGCCUGGCCUACAAAAUAGAGAACAGGAUAGAAAAUAACAGAAGAGGAUGCAAACGCCUUGCGGAAGUGCUCACUGGUGGAACCAUCAAGCUAAAGAAGCAGACAUCUCGAUCAGCUUACGGUUGUGUGAACUGGCAGCAUGCUACUACGAGUUCUUCACUUCAUGAAGUGGAAGCCUCAAGAAAGUUUCUAUUGGACGAGGCAUUGAGUCGGCAUGUGAACAAAACAUUUGCCUUCAAACAAAGGCCAUGGCUGAGUGCAACCCCCCCAUCAGGACGUUCAUAAAUUCGUCAGAGCCUCCAUAUUCAGCAUUGGAUGUCAAACGAGCGUGGCCACUUCUCUUUGUGAGGGAGCACCUCCUUGAUCACUUCCAUAGGCUUACAGGUGUCUGUCUGGACGGAAAAUUGAGCCUGCCCAAAGAUGUCCUCCUCCUCGUGACAUUCCUACGUUCAAGCCCCAAAAAUGAUGCUGUGCUCGAGUGGAGCCUCAAAAUCAACAAGGCCGAG
rnacentral:misc_RNA from 1 species